rnacentral:rRNA from 1 species
AUGAACGCUAGCUACAGGCUUAACACAUGCAAGUCGAGGGGCAGCAUGGUCUUAGCUUGCUAAGGCCGAUGGCGACCGGCGCACGGGUGAGUAACACGUAUCCAACCUGCCGUCUACUCUUGGACAGCCUUCUGAAAGGAAGAUUAAUACAAGAUGGCAUCAUGAGUCCGCAUGUUCACAUGAUUAAAGGUAUUCCGGUAGACGAUGGGGAUGCGUUCCAUUAGAUAGUAGGCGGGGUAACGGCCCACCUAGUCUUCGAUGGAUAGGGGUUCUGAGAGGAAGGUCCCCCACAUUGGAACUGAGACACGGUCCAAACUCCUACGGGAGGCAGCAGUGAGGAAUAUUGGUCAAUGGGCGAGAGCCUGAACCAGCCAAGUAGCGUGAAGGAUGACUGCCCUAUGGGUUGUAAACUUCUUUUAUAAAGGAAUAAAGUCGGGUAUGGAUACCCGUUUGCAUGUACUUUAUGAAUAAGGAUCGGCUAACUCCGUGCCAGCAGCCGCGGUAAUACGGAGGAUCCGAGCGUUAUCCGGAUUUAUUGGGUUUAAAGGGAGCGUAGAUGGAUGUUUAAGUCAGUUGUGAAAGUUUGCGGCUCAACCGUAAAAUUGCAGUUGAUACUGGAUAUCUUGAGUGCAGUUGAGGCAGGCGGAAUUCGUGGUGUAGCGGUGAAAUGCUUAGAUAUCACGAAGAACUCCGAUUGCGAAGGCAGCCUGCUAAGCUGCAACUGACAUUGAGGCUCGAAAGUGUGGGUAUCAAACAGGAUUAGAUACCCUGGUAGUCCACACGGUAAACGAUGAAUACUCGCUGUUUGCGAUAUACUGCAAGCGGCCAAGCGAAAGCGUUAAGUAUUCCACCUGGGGAGUACGCCGGCAACGGUGAAACUCAAAGGAAUUGACGGGGGCCCGCACAAGCGGAGGAACAUGUGGUUUAAUUCGAUGAUACGCGAGGAACCUUACCCGGGCUUAAAUUGCAGAUGAAUUACGGUGAAAGCCGUAAGCCGCAAGGCAUCUGUGAAGGUGCUGCAUGGUUGUCGUCAGCUCGUGCCGUGAGGUGUUGGGUUAAGUCCCGCAACGAGCGCAACCCCUGCCGCCAGUUGCCAGCAUGUAGAGGUGGGCACUCUGGCGGAACUGCCGGCGACAAGCCGGAGGAAGGCGGGGACGACGUCAAGUCAUCAUGGCCCUUAUGUCCAGGGCUACACACGUGCUACAAUGGGGGGUACAGAGGGCCGCUACCACGCGAGUGGAUGCCAAUCCCCAAAACCUCUCUCAGUUCGGACUGGAGUCUGCAACCCGACUCCACGAAGCUGGAUUCGCUAGUAAUCGCGCAUCAGCCACGGCGCGGUGAAUACGUUCCCGGGCCUUGUACACACCGCCCGUCAAGCCAUGGGAGCCGGGGGUACCUGAAGUGCGUAACCGCGAGGAGCGCCCUAGGGUAAAACUGGUGACUGGGGCU